rnacentral:tRNA from 1 species
AACGCGGUGGACGCCGCUUCCGAGUCGGCGGCCGGCGGGGCCGCCGGCGGCGUGCCUGCCGCCCGGUCCCCGGUGCCGGCCCGUGCCGUGGUC